AAUGAAUGAUGACAAUUUGUUUCGGUCCCAGAUGAUGCAAUGAUUACUCUUUUUCAAUGCUGAUAUU